GUCUCCCCUCAUCCCUGCUCACUCUGCAUUGAUUCAAUUCACAGGCUGAGUCUUGGAGCUCAUAAACAGAACAAUGUGCUUCAGAACUGCAAUUGAAAUACUGAAAUUGAAAUAUGGCUCCAGCCAUAAGUGGGUGCUCAGUUUGGGGAACAGAUGAGAAGCACCAGGCUCAGACUGAGUGUGGUGGGACCUCUGCAUCACUCCUGCACCCUGCAGCCCUGUUCCCUCUGCUCAGCAAGGCUUGCAAGGGCAGACAGAGCUCAAGGGUAACAGGAAAUGCAAAGGCACUACAGCAAAGUGUUCCUGUUCCAGAUAGCUCGUGUAACCCCAGUUCUGUCCCUGGCUUUGCAUCUCGUGGAAGCCUUCAAUGUCACAAUUGCCCAUUGAGCUGUUCUGCAAAAUUUCUUGCUUCAGUCAGUGCAUUCCACAGACUUUUACUGGGGAAGGAGGCAGAAAAUCACUAUUUCACUAUCAACUUCAGGACAUUUUUAAAAUUCAUGAGAGGAUCCAGAAUGCAAUCCAUUGCUGGAAACUGGAUGUGCCCCUCCAUUCACCUGAGGAACAUCAGCUCCAUUGCUGCAGCUCAGCCUCUCAGCCUCUGCACCUGAAGAAUGUUGGGUUUAUGGUAUUUUAUGCUGGAAGAUGUGUGUGCUCCUAGGAAACCCAACAAACCAGAGCAGAAGAAAAGACUGGAAAGUAAAACAUGAGGUUAUGGGGGAAAAUGCAAGAGAUACAGAAGAUCAUUUAGUCAAAUCUUGUGGGUUUAGUGUAAUACCACAAAUACAAUGCUCUGAGCAUUCUGAGGCCUCCUUCUUUAUAAUUCUACACCACAUGCUGAAUUUUCAAUUCUGUGGUUGAGAUACCUUGCAGUCACCUUGAUCUAUUUUACAGCUUUAUUUUCAAUAUUUUAUGUAGGUUGUGUGGGUCUUUUUGGCUUUUAUCUUUCUGUGAUGGUAGAGAUAACAUUGGCAGAAUACAGAAACAGCUGAAACAAGAUGUACUCUCAGUCUUCAUGGAAAUUCCAGUUAUUUUCUGCUUUUGUUGCAAACUAGUGGUGAAAUUGUUCAGGAACCAACAUCCAGGGCUGAACAUCUUUAGAAAAUCUUUGUCCCCUGUUGAAUAAAUUACCAAAGAAAAAGAAAGUAUGCUUUCA
rnacentral:lncRNA from 1 species